rnacentral:misc_RNA from 1 species
CAGCGAUCCAUUUUCUUGUAAAUUUAACAAAAACUGACUAAUUAGUUGGAAUGAAGCCCAGCGAAUCUGAGUAGAAUGAAUUCCUUCAUAAAAACUUUGAAGCUGCCAACCAUUCUCAGAAUUUAAUAGAAAUCGAUGCAAGAAUCGAUGGCAUGGAAGUGUACGGAUUUACGGAAGCGGUUUUUAGGGCUUAAGGGCGUUGGGCGAUGGAGGCGGGGACGAGGCGGAGAG